CCCCGGUUCUUGAAGAACUCUCCAGAAAAGAGGGUGAGGGUCCUUGACAUUCAGAAAACAGGGAGAAUUGGCAGUAGUAUGGAAGGAAAUGUCCUUGGGUCCUGAGGAGAGUGACCCUGCCCUUUUUCUGACUUGCUUCAGACACCCUGGUCCCCACAUCACACCCUGGCAUCAGACACUGUCAUGCAGAUCUGGCCACAUGAGCUCAGCCUCUCCCUUCUGCUCCCUGGGACUGGCUCUCAAGCAACCUACACAGAAGCCCCGUUUCACAAUCUGUUUUCACAAAACACCGUGGGCCCACCCAAGUGACUGAGAGACUGGGAGCCGAACAGAGUUAUCUGCAGCCUCAUGGGGCUUGGAAAAUAGACUUGGAAUUGAAGUCGCCACCAAAGAGUUUUCAGUGAACACCCCAGAGAAGUUAUGUAUAGGAGGACGGGCGAGCCAGAAAUAGAGCAAGCCUCACAGCCUGACCGCCAGCGGCAAACCAGCUCAAUCCCAGGCUGGAUUAGGAUGACCUUCUGCUUCUCUGCCUUCUGGAAAGCAAAAGAUAAAUCCUCUGUGAUGAAAGGUAACAUCAGUCAGAGC
rnacentral:lncRNA from 1 species